rnacentral:rRNA from 1 species
UUAAGUUAGAAAGGGCGCACGGUGGAUGCCUUGGCACUAGGAGCCGAUGAAGGACGGGACGAACACCGAUAUGCUUCGGGGAGCUGUAAGCAAGCUUUGAUCCGGAGAUUUCCGAAUGGGGAAACCCACCACUCGUAAUGGAGUGGUAUCCAUAUCUGAAUACAUAGGAUAUGAGAAGGCAGACCCGGGGAACUGAAACAUCUAAGUACCCGGAGGAAGAGAAAGCAAAUGCGAUUCCCUGAGUAGCGGCGAGCGAAACGGGACCAGCCCAAACCAAGAGGCUUGCCUCUUGGGGUUGUAGGACACUCUGUACGGAGUUACAAAGGAACGAGGUAGAUGAAGAGGUCUGGAAAGGCCCGCCAUAGGAGGUAACAGCCCUGUAGUCAAAACUUCGUUCUCUCCUGAGUGGAUCCUGAGUACGGCGGAACACGUGAAAUUCCGUCGGAAUCUGGGAGGACCAUCUCCCAAGGCUAAAUACUCCCUAGUGACCGAUAGUGAACCAGUACCGUGAGGGAAAGGUGAAAAGCACCCCGGAAGGGGAGUGAAAGAGAUCCUGAAACCGUGUGCCUACAAGUAGUCAGAGCCCGUUAACGGGUGAUGGCGUGCCUUUUGUAGAAUGAACCGGCGAGUUACGAUCCCGUGCAAGGUUAAGCAGAAGAUGCGGAGCCGCAGCGAAAGCGAGUCUGAAUAGGGCGAAUUGAGUACGUGGUCGUAGACCCGAAACCAGGUGAUCUACCCAUGUCCAGGGUGAAGUUCAGGUAACACUGAAUGGAGGCCCGAACCCACGCACGUUGAAAAGUGCGGGGAUGAGGUGUGGGUAGGGGUGAAAUGCCAAUCGAACCUGGAGAUAGCUGGUUCUCUCCGAAAUAGCUUUAGGGCUAGCCUCAAGGUAAGAGUCUCGGAGGUAGAGCACUGAUUGGACUAGGGGCCCCUACCGGGUUACCGAAUUCAGUCAAACUCCGAAUGCCGAUGACUUAUCCUUGGGAGUCAGACUGCGAGUGAUAAGAUCCGUAGUCGAAAGGGAAACAGCCCAGACCGCCAGCUAAGGUCCCAAAGUAUACGUUAAGUGGAAAAGGAUGUGGAGUUGCUUAGACAACCAGGAUGUUGGCUUAGAAGCAGCCACCAUUUAAAGAGUGCGUAAUAGCUCACUGGUCGAGUGACUCUGCGCCGAAAAUGUACCGGGGCUAAACGUAUCACCGAAGCUGCGGACUGUUCUUCGAACAGUGGUAGGAGAGCGUUCUAAGGGCUGUGAAGCAAGACCGGAAGGACUUGUGGAGCGCUUAGAAGUGAGAAUGCCGGUAUGAGUAGCGAAAGAGGGGUGAGAAUCCCCUCCACCGAAUGCCCAAGGUUUCCUGAGGAAGGCUCGUCCGCUCAGGGUUAGUCGGGACCUAAGCCGAGGCCGAAAGGCGUAGGCGAUGGAUAACAGGUUGAUAUUCCUGUACCACCUCCUCACCAUUUGAGCAAUGGGGGGACGCAGGAGGAUAGGGUAAGCGCGGUAUUGGAUAUCCGCGUCCAAGCAGUUAGGCUGGGAAAUAGGCAAAUCCGUUUCCCGUGAAGGCUGAGCUGUGAUGGCGAGCGAAUUAUAGUAGCGAAGUUCCUGAUUCCACACUGCCAAGAAAAGCCUCUAGCGAGGUGAGAGGUGCCCGUACCGCAAACCGACACAGGUAGGCGAGGAGAGAAUCCUAAGGUGAUCGAGAGAACUCUCGUUAAGGAACUCGGCAAAAUGACCCCGUAACUUCGGGAGAAGGGGUGCUCUGUUAGGGUGCAAGCCCGAGAGAGCCGCAGUGAAUAGGCCCAGGCGACUGUUUAGCAAAAACACAGGUCUCUGCGAAGCCGUAAGGCGAAGUAUAGGGGCUGACGCCUGCCCGGUGCUGGAAGGUUAAGAGGAGCGCUUAGCGUAAGCGAAGGUGCGAAUUGAAGCCCCAGUAAACGGCGGCCGUAACUAUAACGGUCCUAAGGUAGCGAAAUUCCUUGUCGGGUAAGUUCCGACCCGCACGAAAGGCGCAACGAUCUGGGCACUGUCUCAACGAGAGACUCGGUGAAAUUAUAGUACCUGUGAAGAUGCAGGUUACCCGCGACAGGACGGAAAGACCCCGUGGAGCUUUACUGCAGCCUGAUAUUGAAUGUUGGUACAGCUUGUACAGGAUAGGUAGGAGCCUUGGAAACCGGAGCGCCAGCUUCGGUGGAGGCAUCGGUGGGAUACUACCCUGGCUGUAUUGACCUUCUAACCCGCCGCCCUUAUCGGGCGGGGAGACAGUGUCAGGUGGGCAGUUUGACUGGGGCGGUCGCCUCCUAAAAGGUAACGGAGGCGCCCAAAGGUUCCCUCAGAAUGGUUGGAAAUCAUUCGCAGAGUGUAAAGGCACAAGGGAGCUUGACUGCGAGACCUACAAGUCGAGCAGGGACGAAAGUCGGGCUUAGUGAUCCGGUGGUUCCGCAUGGAAGGGCCAUCGCUCAACGGAUAAAAGCUACCCCGGGGAUAACAGGCUUAUCUCCCCCAAGAGUCCACAUCGACGGGGAGGUUUGGCACCUCGAUGUCGGCUCAUCGCAUCCUGGGGCUGUAGUCGGUCCCAAGGGUUGGGCUGUUCGCCCAUUAAAGCGGUACGCGAGCUGGGUUCAGAACGUCGUGAGACAGUUCGGUCCCUAUCCGUCGCGGGCGCAGGAAAUUUGAGAGGAGCUGUCCUUAGUACGAGAGGACCGGGAUGGACGCACCGCUGGUGUACCAGUUGUUCUGCCAAGGGCAUCGCUGGGUAGCUAUGUGCGGACGGGAUAAGUGCUGAAAGCAUCUAAGCAUGAAGCCCCCCUCAAGAUGAGAUUUCCCAUUCCGCAAGGAAGUAAGAUCCCUGAAAGAUGAUCAGGUUGAUAGGUCUGAGGUGGAAGUGUGGCGACACAUGGAGCUGACAGAUACUAAUCGAUCGAGGACUUAACCAA